GUUAAGUCCUCCUCUAGUGGCUGUCUACUAGACAGCCACUAGAGGGACUUCCGUGUUCAUAGAACACAAAGUGUUUUAAAACGACGCUGGACGUCCUCACGCUAUGUGAGGACCUCCAGCGCAGAGGAUAUCCCCAUAGGAAAGCAUUAUUCAAUGCUUUCCAAAGGGGAGGUCUAAUUCGUGUGCGUGGCCAUUGCCGUGCAUGCGCAUUGGGUCUCCCCUGCCGGCUGACACCGGAGGGGAAGGAGAGAAGGCGCAGCCUGCCCCUGCCCGAGGGACAUUGGCGCU